GAUGAACGCUAGCGGCAGGCCUAAUACAUGCAAGCCGAACGGCAAUCCCGCCAGCAAUGGCGGGACUAGAGUGGCGCAAGGGUGCGUAACACGUAUGCAAUCUGCCCACAACAGGAGGACAGGCUCCCCGAAAGGGGAAUUAACCCUCCAUGGGACCACACGAGGGCAUCCGAGAGUGGUUAAACCAAAGGGGUUGUGGAUGGGCAUGCGGUUGAUUAGCUGGUUGGUAGGGAACGGCCUACCAAGGCGAUGAUCAAUAGGGGAACUGAGAGGUUUGUCCCCCACACUGGCACUGAGGAUACGGGCCAGA
rnacentral:rRNA from 1 species